rnacentral:rRNA from 1 species
AGUUGGGGCGUCGCACUAAAGCACCGGAUCCCAUCAGAACUCCGCAGUUAAGUGUGCUUGGGCGAGAGUAGUACUGAGAUGGGUGACCCCCUAGGAAAUUGGGGCGUCACAACAU